ensembl:lncRNA
CUGCCUGAUCCGGCUGUAGUGCACAUAUGAUUUGGGCUGACAAUCCAGAUCUUAGCCGGAUGAUGCUAUAACCAUUAGGUCUUACUGGUUUUGGGCCAUACACGUAUGACGGGCCAUAGCCGAUAACGCCAAACCCUGAGGAAAACCUGCAUUGGCUGGUUUGGGCCUGACCUGGCCCUGACAAGUAGUGCGGACGUCCUCCUAGCCCGCCAAAAUCUUAGUUGGACUGGUAGAAAUUAAAAUAUCUACUGUACAUUUUACAACAAAUGCCAACAUAUGUGAGUUUAAUACAGCGCUAGAAUGAAUAAAAAAUAAUAAUGUGUAGUUCUAAAUUAUAUACUAAUUUCUUUUUAAGUUGGUCCAGUUCACAUUGGAUACAAAACACUCGUUUGUCCUCAGCCGGUUGCAAGCCAUAUUCUGCAUGUGAUUCUGCACAAUGGCAACCUGUCCAGCUAAGCUUGCUUUUUUCAUAACAGACAUGAGUGACAGUGAGCCUGAGGAGAGGUCUGAUGAUGAGCAUAUCACACCAUGGGGGAAGAUUCCCUUAAAUCUCCCAGCUUUACCCCAUUCUUUCCCUCUCACUAAGUGUCAUAGUCCUGACCCAUCUGCCAUGCUCCAAGACCUUGGUGAAGGCAGGUCCUACACAAGUCUUAGCUUCCCUACAAGUUCCAGGCCUUCUCGAUUUUCUGCCCUGAACCAUAACCCUUCAGACACCAGCCCUCUGAUACUCCCUAAUGGAAGAAAUGGCCUACAGUUUAGCAGCCCAACUUACGCACCAGGAUACCAGGACACACAAGGGUUUACUGCUGCCAGUCUUCAGGACUGAAUAAACAGAACCUUCACCAAACCCAACUCUUCUUUGGCACUACGCUUUGCUGAGUGCCUGGGCACUGCAAUUAGCUGUGUUGUAUUGGCAAUACAGCUCCAGAAAAGAUUAAGAGACCACUGCACCUUUUUCUCUCCUUUCCAAAAUAGUUGAAAAGGAAGGUUUUGAGUGAGGAACAGAAGCGUUCAAUUUGCAGUGGUCUCCUAAUUUUAACCCUUCUCUUCCUCACUCAAAACCUUCCUUUUCCACUAUUUGGAAAGGAGAGAAAAAGGUGCAGUGGUCUCUUAAUCUGUUUCCGGAGCUGUAUAUCACAAACCUUAGCCUUAUUGCUUUUAUAAACUGUUUAAAAGUACAAUUAGACUAGUAAAAAGUGUCAUACACCACAGCUGUCAGUCAAUCAACAUUCAGGAUUCUAGCCACCCGGUUUAUAAUUGUUAUUUUAAAACAGUGAGGAAUCUGGUUAAGGUAAAAGUUAGGGUAAGGUUUCAGGUUAAGAUUCAGGGUAGGGACAAGCACUAACCUUGGUCAAAUGUCAACUUUGCAGUUUUGCCUAGUUCUGCCUUCUGAAUUUAGUCUCUGCCUUCUAGGCAGAUUUGGUUAAAUUUAAAUCACUGUAACUCCUCCAAUGAGCAUUUAUUGUCUGGUCUUUUAUUACCAUAUUACGUUACAGCUGCACUUAGGUUAUGAGAGAUUGUUUUUGUAAAACAUAUUUUUGGAUACAACCAAAUAAAAACAUUUGUACCAUUUUUGCUUGAUUAUUUAUUAUUAAUAUUAUUUUAGAAUACUUUGUGAAAACACAGUUCAGUGCAUUACUCUAACAAUUCAAGAUGCUAAAUUAAU